AGCGGCGAACGGGUGAGUAACACGUGGGUGAUCUGCCCUGUACUUCGGGAUAAGCCUGGGAAACUGGGUCUAAUACCGGAUAUGACCUUACAUCGCAUGGUGUUUGGUGGAAAGAUUUAUCGGUACAGGAUGGGCCCGCGGCCUAUCAGCUUGUUGGUGGGGUAAUGGCCUACCAAGGCGACGACGGGUAGCCGGCCUGAGAGGGCGACCGGCCACACUGGGACUGAGACACGGCCCAGACUCCUACGGGAGGCAGCAGUGGGGAAUAUUGCACAAUGGGCGAAAGCCUGAUGCAGCGACGCCGCGUGAGGGAUGACGGCCUUCGGGUUGUAAACCUCUUUCUACAGGGACGAAGCGCAGGUGACGGUACCUGUAAAAGAAGCACCGGCCAACUACGUGCCAGCAG
rnacentral:rRNA from 1 species